GUCUUGACUAAUGUGUCUUGGCUAAGGUGUCUUGGCUAAGGUGUCUUGGCUAAGGUGUCUUGGCUUAGGUGUCUUGGCUAAUGUGUCUCGGCUAAGGUGUCUUGGCUAAGGUGUCUUGGCUAAGGUGUCUUGGCUAAUGUGUCUUGGCUAAGGUGUCUUGGCUAAGGUGUCUUGGCUAAGGUGUCUUGGCUAAGGUGUCUCGGCUAAUGUGUCUUGGCUAAGGUGUCUUGGCUAAGGUGUCUUGACUAAUGUGUCUUGGCUAAAGUGUCUUGGCUAAGGUGUCUUGGCUAAUGUGUCUCGGCUAAGGUGUCUUGGCUAAUGUGUCUUGGCUAAGGUGUCUUGGCUAAGGUGUCUUGGCUAAUGUGUCUUAGCUAAUGUGUCUUGGCUAAUGUGUCUCGGCUAAUGUGUCUUGGCUAAUGUGUCUCGGCUAAGGUGUCUUGGCUAAGGUGUCUUGGCUAAAGUGUCUUGGCUAAGGUGUCUUGGCUAAUGUGUCUCGGCUAAAGUGUCUUGGCUAAUGUGUCUUGGCUAAGGUGUCUUGGCUAAGGUGUCUUGGCUAAGGUGUCUUGGCUAAGGUGUCUUGGCUAAGGUGUCUUGGCUAAGGUGUCUUGGCUAAUGUGUCUCGGCUAAUGUGUCUUGGCUAAGGUGUCUUGGCUAAGGUGUCUUGGCUAAUGUGUCUUGGCUAAUGUGUCUUGGCUAAUGUGUCUUGGCUAAGGUGUCUUGGCUAAGGUGUCUUGGCUAAUGUGUCUUGGCUAAAGUGUCUUGGCUAAUGUGUCUUGGCUAAUGUGUCUUGGCUAAUGUGUCUCGGCUAAUGUGUCUUGGCUAAUGUGUCUCGGCUAAGGUGUCUUGGCUAAGGUGUCUUGGCUAAAGUGUCUUGGCUAAGGUGUCUUGGCUAAUGUGUCUCGGCUAAAGUGUCUUGGCUAAUGUGUCUUGGCUAAGGUGUCUUGGCUAAGGUGUCUUGGCUAAGGUGUCUUGGCUAAGGUGUCUUGGCUAAGGUGUCUUGGCUAAGGUGUCUUGGCUAAUGUGUCUCGGCUAAUGUGUCUUGGCUAAGGUGUCUUGGCUAAGGUGUCUUGGCUAAUGUGUCUUGGCUAAUGUGUCUUGGCUAAUGUGUCUUGGCUAAGGUGUCUUGGCUAAGGUGUCUUGGCUAAUGUGUCUUGGCUAAAGUGUCUUGGCUAAGGUGUCUUGGCUAAGGUGUCUCGGCUAAGAUGUCUUGGCUAAGGUGUCUUGGCUAAUGUGUCUUGGCUAAGGUGUCUUGGCUAAUGUGUCUUGGCUAAGGUGUCUUGGCUAAGGUGUCUUGGCUAAGGUGUCUCGGCUAAGGUGUCUUGGCUAAGGUGUCUUGGCUAAGGUGUCUUGGCUAUGGUGUCUUGGCUAAUGUGUCUCGGCUAAUGUGUCUUGGCUAAGGUGUCUUGGCUAAUGUGUCUUGGCUAAUGUGUCUUGGCUAAGGUGUCUUGGCUAAGGUGUCUUGGCUAAUGUGUCUUGGCUAAUGUGUCUUGGCUAAGGUGUCUUGGCUAAGGUGUCUUGGCUAAUGUGUCUUGGCUAAAGUGUCUUGGCUAAUGUGUCUCGGCUAAGGUGUCUUGGCUAAGGUGUCUUGGCUAAGGUGUCUUGGCCAAGGUGUCUUGGCUAAGGUGUCUUGGCUAAGGUGUCUUGGCUAAGGUGUCUUGGCUAAUGUGUCUCGGCUAAUGUGUCUUGGCUAAGGUGGCUUGGCUAAGGUGUCUUGGCUAAUGUGUCUCGGCUAAUGUGUCUUGGCUAAGGUGUCUUGGCUUAGGUGUCUUGGCUAAUGUGUCUUGGCUAAGGUGUCUUGGCUAAUGUGUCUCGGCUAAUGUGUCUUGGCUAAGGUGUCUUGGCUAAUGUGUCUCGGCUAAUGUGUCUUGGCUAAGGUGUCUUGGCUAAGGUGUCUUGGCUAAUGUGUCUUGGCUAAGGUGUCUUGGCUAAUGUGUCUCGGCUAAGGUGUCUUGGCUAAGGUGUCUUGGCUAAGGUGUCUUGGCUAAGGUGUCUUGGCUAAGGUGUCUUGGCUAAGGUGUCUUGGCUAAUGUGUCUUGGCUAAGGUGUCUUGGCUAAAGUGUCUUGGCUAAGGUGUCUUGGCUAAUGUGUCUUGGCUAAGGUGUCUUGGCUAAGGUGUCUUGGCUAAGGUGUCUUGGCUAAUGUGUCUUGGCUAAGGUGUAUUGGCUAAGGUGUCUUGGCUAAGGUGUCUUGGCUAAGGUGUCUUGGCUAAGGUGUCUUGGCUAAUGUGUCUCGGCUAAUGUGUCUUGGCUAAGGUGUCUUGGCUAAGGUGUCUUGGCUAAUGUGUCUUGGCUAAUGUGUCUUGGCUAAGGUGUCUUGGCUAAGGUGUCUUGGCUAAUGUGUCUUGGCUAAGGUGUCUUGGCUAAGGUGUCUUGGCUAAGGUGUCUUGGCUAAUGUGUCUUGGCUAAGGUGUCUUGGCUAAUGUGUCUUGGCUAAUGUGUCUUGGCUAAGGUGUCUUGGCUAAGGUGUCUUGGCUAAUGUGUCUUGGCUAAUGUGUCUUGGCUAAGGUGUCUUGGCUAAGGUGUCUUGGCUAAGGUGUCUCGGCUAAUGUGUCUUGGCUAAGGUGUCUUGGCUAAGGUGUCUUGGCUAAUGUGUCUUGGCUAAGGUGUCUUGGCUAAUGUGUCUUGGCUAGGUGUCUUGGCUAAGGUGUCUUGGCUAAUGUGUCUUGGCUAAAGUGUCUUGGCUAAGGUGUCUUGGCUAAGGUGUCUUGGCUAAGGUGUCUUGGCUAAGGUGUCUUGGCUAAUGUGUCUCGGCUAAAGUGUCUUGGCUAAGGUGUCUUGGCUAAGGUGUCUUGGCUAAGGUGUCUUGGCUAAUGUGUCUCGGCUAAGGUGUCUUGGCUAAGGUGUCUUGGCUAAGGUGUCUUGGCUAAUGUGUCUUGGCUAAGGUGUCUUGGCUAAGGUGUCUUGGCUAAAGUGUCUUGGCUAAGGUGUCUUGGCUAAUGUGUCUCGGCUAAUGUGUCUUGGCUAAGGUGUCUUGGCUAAGGUGUCUUGGCUAAGGUGUCUUGGCUAAGGUGUCUUGGCUAAUGUGUCUUGGCUAAGGUGUCUUGGCUAAGGUGUCUUGGCUAAAGUGUCUUGGCUAAGGUGUCUUGGCUAAUGUGUCUCGGCUAAUGUGUCUUGGCUAAGGUGUCUUGGCUAAGGUGUCUCGGCUAAAGUGUCUUGGCUAAGGUGUCUUGGCUAAGGUGUCUUGGCUAAGGUGUCUUGGCUAAUGUGUCUCGGCUAAGGUGUCUUGGCUAAGGUGUCUUGGCUAAGGUGUCUUGGCUAAUGUGUCUUGGCUAAGGUGUCUUGGCUAAGGUGUCUUGGCUAAUGUGUCUCGGCUAAGGUGUCUUGGCUAAUGUGUCUUGGCUAAUGUGUCUUGGCUAUUGUGUCUUGGCUAAGGUGUCUUGGUUAAGGAGUCUUGGCUAAGGUGUCUUGGCUAAGGUGUCUUGGCUAAGGUGUCUUGGCUAAUGUGUCUUGGCUAAUGUGUCUUGGCUAAGGUGUCUUGGCUAAGGUGUCUUGGCUAAUGUGUCUUGGCUAAAGUGUCUUGGCUUAGGUGUCUUGGCUAAGGUGUCUUGGG